AGCAGUCGAACGAUGAAGCGGUGCUUGCACCGUGGAUUAGUGGCGAACGGGUGAGUAACACGUGAGUAACCUGCCCUUGACUCUGGGAUAAGCCUGGGAAACUGGGUCUAAUACCGGAUAUGACCGCUCCACGCAUGUGGUGGUGGUGGAAAGCUUUUGUGGUUUUGGAUGGACUCGCGGCCUAUCAGCUUGUUGGUGGGGUAAUGGCCUACCAAGGCGACGACGGGUAGCCGGCCUGAGAGGGUGACCGGCCACACUGGGACUGAGACACGGCCCAGACUCCUACGGGAGGCAGCAGUGGGGAAUAUUGCACAAUGGGCGCAAGCCUGAUGCAGCGACGCCGCGUGAGGGAUGACGGCCUUCGGGUUGUAAACCUCUUUCAGUAGGGAAGAAGCUAACGUG
rnacentral:rRNA from 1 species